UACGUAGGGUGCAAGCGUUAAUCGGAAUUACUGGGCGUAAAGCGUGCGCAGGCGGUAAUGUAAGACAGAUGUGAAAUCCCCGGGCUCAACCUGGGAACUGCAUUUGUGACUGCAUUGCUGGAGUGCGGCAGAGGGGGAUGGAAUUCCGCGUGUAGCAGUGAAAUGCGUAGAUAUGCGGAGGAACACCGAUGGCGAAGGCAAUCCCCUGGGCCUGCACUGACGCUCAUGCACGAAAGCUAGGGGAGCAAACGGG
rnacentral:rRNA from 1 species